CCUCAGUAGCUCAGUGGUAGAGCGGUCGGUGCUUAACUGACUAGUCGUAGGUUCCAAUCCUACUUG
rnacentral:tRNA from 1 species